rnacentral:rRNA from 1 species
CUACGGGAGGCAGCAGUGAGGAAUAUUGGACAAUGGGCGCAAGCCUGAUCCAGCCAUGCCGCGUGCAGGAUGACGGUCCUAUGGAUUGUAAACUGCUUUUAUACAGGAAGAAACACUACUUCGUGAAGUAGCUUGACGGUACUGUAAGAAUAAGGAUCGGCUAACUCCGUGCCAGCAGCCGCGGUAAUACGGAGGAUCCAAGCGUUAUCCGGAAUCAUUGGGUUUAAAGGGUCCGUAGGCGGUCAGAUAAGUCAGUGGUGAAAGCCCAUCGCUCAACGGUGGAACGGCCAUUGAUACUGUCUGACUUGAAUUAUUAGGAAGUAACUAGAAUAUGUAGUGUAGCGGUGAAAUGCUUAGAGAUUACAUGGAAUACCAAUUGCGAAGGCAGGUUACUACUAAUUGAUUGACGCUGAUGGACGAAAGCGUGGGUAGCGAACAGGAUUAGAUACCCUGGUAGG